rnacentral:lncRNA from 1 species
UGUGGUAAGUAUCUAAGGUUAUAUAAGUUAGUCAAGCUUUUACAUAGUUGAGUGGGCUUGAAUGAGAAAGUAAAGACCCUCUAUUUCUAAUUCAUUUAUACCACUAAACAAAACUCAUUCAGUUCUUUAUUUCAGAUGGAACUAGAAGCAUUACGCUCUAUUUAUGAAGGAGAUGAAAGUUUCCGGGAAUUAAGUCCAGUUUCUUUUCAAUAUAGGAUAGGUGAAAAUGGUGAUCCCAAAGCCUUCUUAAUAGAGAUUUCCUGG